CCUGACUAGAGACAAUACCAACCU
rnacentral:miRNA from 1 species